GAUUGAAGAACGUAGCGAAAUGCGAUAAGUAGUGUGAAUUGCAGAAUUCAGUGAAUCAUCGAAUCUUUGAACGCACAUUGCGCCCCUUGGUAUCCCGAGGGGCAUGCCUGUUCGAGCGUCAUUUCACCACUCAAGCCUGGCUUGGUGUUGGGCGACGUCCCCUUUGGGGACGCGCCUCGAAACGCUCGGCGGCGUGGCACCGGCUUUAAGCGUAGCAGAAUCUUUCGCUUUGGAAGUCGGGGCCCCGUCUGCCGGAAGACCUACUCGCAAGGUUGACCUCGGAUCAGGCAGGGAUACCCGCUGAACUUAAGCAUAUCAAUAAGCGGAGGA
rnacentral:misc_RNA from 1 species